CCCCUACUUACCUUUGUCUUGCAAACCGUUUUCUCCUUAGUUACCUGCACUUCCGGUCGAGGUUGCCGCCAAAAUCCUGCCUCGAGUAUCCAGUCCAGCUUCUGUCACCGGCCUCUGGGCUCCUUCACUGGCUUCUAAACCGCCUUCGUUACUAGUUUUUCGGCAUUCCCGUCACGAGACCGGCACCUACACGUAAGCACAAACGUGGAAAAUGGCGUUCGCCUAUUUCCC